CCCUUGCAUUGAGACUUCAAUGGCUGCAAAUUUCAGUUCAGUUCGUAAUUGCUUUGACUUGGAACCCUGAGAAGCAUUUGUGACUCUAAGCAAUGGAGACCUUCGCAGCUUUUACAUUGGCAUUUUAGGAGGCUUCCCUUCUUUGCAGCACAGCUAAUGGUGGAAAGUUCAAAUUCUUAACCUUUACUGAGAGAGAGAUGUUAAGGGAGUAAGAAGUUUGAAGUUGAACUAAAAGAGAUUAAAGGUCCUUUAAUAUAUGCUAUGCAGUAAAAAGGCUCCUUGGACCUUCAUAGUGAGAUAGAAUAAGAAGGCAGCCAUGAAAACAGCUACCCCACAAAGCAGGCCGA